UCGAGCGAUCGGCCGCACGCUGCCCCACC
rnacentral:sRNA from 1 species